UAAAUCAGUUAUCGUUUAUUUGAUAGUACCUUACUACUUGGAUAACCGUGGUAAUUCUAGAGCUAAUACAUGCUAAAAACCCCGACUUCGGGAGGGGUGUAUUUAUUAGAUAAAAAACCAAUGCCCUUCGGGGCUCUUUGGUGAUUCAUGAUAACUUAACGGAUCGCAUGGCCUUGCGCCGGCGACGGUUCAUUCAAAUUUCUGCCCUAUCAACUUUCGAUGGUAAGGUAUUGGCUUACCAUGGUUUCAACGGGUAACGGGGAAUUAGGGUUCGAUUCCGGAGAGGGAGCCUGAGAAACGGCUACCACAUCCAAGGAAGGCAGCAGGCGCGCAAAUUACCCAAUCCCGACCCGGGGAGGUAGUGACAAUAAAUACUGAUACAGGGCUCUUUUGGGUCUUGUAAUCGGAAUGAGUACAAUUUAAACCCCUUAACGAGGAACAAUUGGAGGGCAAGUCUGGUGCCAGCAGCCGCGGUAAUUCCAGCUCCAAUAGCGUAUAUUAAAGUUGUUGCAGUUAAAAAGCUCGUAGUUGAACCUUGGGCCUGGCUGGCCGGUCCGCCUCACCGCGUGUACUGGUCCGGCCGGGCCUUUCCUUCUGGAGAGCCGCAUGCCCUUCACUGGGUGUGUCGGGGAACCAGGACUUUUACUUUGAAAAAAUUAGAGUGUUCAAAGCAGGCCUUUGCUCGAAUACGUUAGCAUGGAAUAAUAGAAUAGGACGUGCGGUCCUAUUUUGUUGGUUUCUAGGACCGCCGUAAUGAUUAAUAGGGAUAGUCGGGGGCAUCAGUAUUCAAUUGUCAGAGGUGAAAUUCUUGGAUUUAUUGAAGACUAACUACUGCGAAAGCAUUUGCCAAGGAUGUUUUCAUUAAUCAGUGAACGAAAGUUAGGGGAUCGAAGACGAUCAGAUACCGUCGUAGUCUUAACCGUAAACUAUGCCGACUAGGGAUCGGGCGAUGUUUCUAUCUUGACUCGCUCGGCAC
rnacentral:rRNA from 1 species